AAGUAGAUAAAAACUUAAAAUCUCAAAAUUGCCCCCACAAACGAGAGUCUCUCUUCUACUUCUCUCAAAAAUCAGCUUCACCACUGCUGAUUCCCUCAGUUGCUGCCACUACUUGAUCAGGUCAUCACUGCUGCUCCGUCAAGCUACUAAUGCCAAAGAGUUUAUCCUCCUACAAUUUAUCAUCUUCGUCAUCCCUUUGUUGACGGCACCAUUGAUCCUCCUAGUUGCUGUCGUCACUGCUCCGCCUAGUUGCCGCCGCUACUCAUUGUUUUUUCAUCCAUUGAAACGAAAUCUUGGUAAUCCAAUUUGUUGAAAGGGUACCAGAAUGAUUUUGGAGGACAUUAAACUUAUAGUGAAGCAGAAUACACAUUUGGGAGCGAUGAAAUGAAGGAUAUGCUUAUCUUGUUGAUCAAUCUAGCCAGAUCCUGUUUAGUUGAGAUGCUAUUAAAACAAUCUUACUUAAGGCAUAUAAAACUUAGAGAACUAAGAAAUCUAGCCCAAGCAAAGUCUCACAGGAGCUCUAAUUGUAGGUUGUUGUGCAACAAUUUCAAACAUACAACAACCUGAAAAAGUUAGCAAAAUGUUAGCUUUUGGAUGGCCAAAAAUAUAGGAGAUACUUAUCCAGUUUACUGGGAAAAAAUAAGAGAAAAAUGCAUCAUACACCAUUGUUGUUGUCUUUUGGCAUUUCAUAGGACAUGGUAUUAAUUUCUUGAGAAAUCAAUGAUAUAAGUUCUUUUUGUAUCAA